rnacentral:rRNA from 1 species
GACGAACGCUGGCGGCGUGCUUAACACAUGCAAGUCGAACGAUGAAGCAGAGAAACGCUAACUUCGGUUCAAAGUUCACUUCGGAUUAGUGGCAGACGGGUGAGUAACGCUUGAGCAACCUACCUCUUACAAAGGGAUAGCCUCGGGAAACCGUGAUUAAGACCAUAGGACACAUUCAUAAGGCAUCUUAAGACUGUUAACGCUACGGCGGUAAGAGAUGGGCUCGCGUCCCAUUAGCUAGUUGGGGAGGUAACGGCCCACCAAGGCGACGAUGGGUACCCGGGCUGAGAGGCUGACCGGUUACAUUGGAACUGAGACCCGGUCCAAACUCCUACGGGAGGCAGCAGUGGGGAAUAGUGCAAAAUGGAGGGAACUCUGAUGCAGCGACGCCGCGUGAGCGAUGCAGCAAUUCGUUUCGUAAAGCUCUGUUCUAUGGGAAGAAAAGGACUGUACCAUAGGAGAAAGCCCCGGCUAAAUACGUG